GUCGAGAAGCAGCUACCCAAGGUCCAGGAGGUUCCGAAACUGAGGACCAGAGAGGGAAAGUGACCUGAAAGUCACAGAAUAAUUUUAGAGCUGGACAAGAAUCCAAGCCUGCAACUGCAGAGACCAGAGAUCUUUCUGCUGUCUAUACUCUUGGGAAGCACAUCCUAAGAUCUUUGCAGAUUAUCCUGUGGAAGGAAAAUGCCUAAAGUCAAAAGAAGCCGGAAAGCACCCCCAGAUGGCUGGGAGUUGAUUGAGCCAACACUGGAUGAAUUAGAUCAAAAGAUGAGAGAAGCUGAAACAGAACCGCAUGAGGGAAAGAGGAAAGUGGAAUCCCUGUGGCCCAUCUUCAGGAUCCACCACCAGAAAACCCGCUACAUCUUCGACCUCUUUUACAAGCGGAAAGCCAUCAGCAGAGAACUCUAUGAAUAUUGUAUUAAAGAAGGCUAUGCAGACAAAAACCUGAUUGCAAAAUGGAAAAAGCAAGGGUAUGAGAACUUGUGCUGCCUGCGGUGCAUUCAGACACGGGACACCAACUUCGGGACGAACUGCAUCUGCCGCGUGCCCAAAAGCAAACUGGAAGUGGUA
rnacentral:sRNA from 1 species